rnacentral:rRNA from 1 species
GAUGAACGCUAGCUACAGGCUUAACACAUGCAAGUCGAGGGGAAACGGCAUUGAGUGCUUGCACUCUUUGGACGUCGACCGGCGCACGGGUGAGUAACGCGUAUCCAACCUUCCCAUUACUGUGGUAUAACCUGCCGAAAUGCAGACUAAUACCGCAUAGUCUUCGAUUACGGCAUCAGAUUUGAAGUAAAGAUUUAUCGGUAAUGGAUGGGGAUGCGUCUGAUUAGCUUGUUGGCGGGGUAACGGCCCACCAAGGCGACGAUCAGUAGGGGUUCUGAGAGGAAGGUCCCCAACAUUGGAACUGAGACACGGUCCAAACGCCUACGGGAGGCAGCAGUGAGGAAUAUUGGUCAAUGGACGGAAGUCUGAACCAGCCAAGUAGCGUGCAGGAUGACGGCCCUAUGGGUUGUAAACUGCUUUUGUAUGGGGAUAAAGUUAGGGACGUGUCCCUAUUUGCAGGUACCAUACGAAUAAGGACCGGCUAAUUCCGUG